GACAGAGGUGCCGAGCGUUAGGCGGAAUCACUGGGCUUAAAGCGUGUGUAGGCGGGCCGUUAAGUGUCUUGUGAAAUCCCCCGGCUCAACCGGGGAAUUGCUGGGCAUACUGGCGGUCUUGAGCAGUCUAGGGGCAGAUGGAACAAGUGGUGGAGCGGUGAAAUGCGUAGAUAUCACUUGGAACGCCAAAGGUGAAGACAGUCUGCUGGGGACUUGCUGACGCUGAGAGACGAAAGCUAGGGGAGCGAAUGGG
rnacentral:rRNA from 1 species